ACCAACCCUUUUGUUCAUAUCUUUCAAGGAACUGAUGAUGGUGUUUUUCUUCAUUCAUCAUCUGAGAACUAGGUGGUGGUGAGGGCGUUUGAGCUCAUGACAUUUGUUUCAGAGGUUGUCUGUGAGGAUUAAGAUAGAGUGAGAGAUACGGGUGGCUGUAAGGGGGGAUACCUUAUCUAAUAUCUAUAUGCGACUGAUUUUGUAUGGACGAGGAAUUGCUAGCGACUGUACAACCUUAUCAUGGUGGGCCAGCAUUCAUACGUGGGUUCAUUUUUACCCUUGUAAAGAUAUAUGUAAAGUAUCUAUUGACGAAAUGCCCAUGAGUUCUGAAGUCAAGGGUUAUGCAUAGCACAGUCUUUCACGCCUUCAACAUUUCUUGGUUCUUCAAAAGAGAAUAUACUAACAUAGUUUGUGUUAUACAUAAGCGGCCUUGUUUCAUACUUUGUUAAUUUUUGGGUCAAGCUCUACGAUUUUUUUAAAUUUUAGGGGACAAAAAAUUUUCUUGCAGAAUGGUAAGAAACUAAAAAAGAAAAAUUUAAAUUUGAUACUUUAUUUUUGUCACGAAAUUCUGUUAUGUUCGAAGACUUUUAUUUAUGGCCGCGAGAAUAUGAUUUCAUUCGUUACCCUUUUCUUGUUGGCAUGAUUUUAAUAACAAAUUAUGUUUCUGCGUAUAAUGUAACACAAAAAACAUCGAAUCCCUGAAAUCCAAUGGAUUUGUGUUGAAACAAAGGUGUUUAUCUGUUUAUCACUUUUUCGAAUUUAAUAUUACAGGAUGUAAUAAA